GUGCUUGCUUCGGCAGCACAUAUACUAAAAUUGAAAUGAUACAGAGAAGAUUAGCAUAGUCCCUGAGCAAGGAUGACAUGCAAAUAAAAAUUUAA
ensembl:snRNA U6 U6 spliceosomal RNA